GAUGAACGCUGGCGGCGUGCCUAAUACAUGCAAGUCGAGCGGACCAAAGAGAGCUUGCUCUCUGAGGUUAGCGGCGGACGGGUGAGUAACACGUGGGUAACCUGCCUGUAAGACGGGGAUAACUUCGGGAAACCGAAGCUAAUACCGGAUGAUAAAGAGAAACGCCUGUUUCUCUUUUGAAAGUCGGCCUUGUGCUGACGCUUACAGAUGGGCCCGCGGCGCAUUAGCUAGUUGGUGAGGUAACGGCUCACCAAGGCGACGAUGCGUAGCCGACCUGAGAGGGUGAUCGGCCACACUGGGACUGAGACACGGCCCAGACUCCUACGGGAGGCAGCAGUAGGGAAUCUUCGGCAAUGGACGAAAGCCUGACCGAGCAACGCCGCGUGAGCGAUGAAGGCCUUCGGGUCGUAAAGCUCUGUUGUCAGAGAAGAACAAGUACCGGAGUAACUGCCGGUACCUUGACGGUACCUGACCAGAAAGCCACGGCUAACUACGUGCCAGCCGCCGCCGUAA
rnacentral:rRNA from 1 species